CACGUAGGUCGCAAGCGUUGUCCGGAAUUAUUGGGCGUAAAGAGCUCGUAGGCGGUCUGUUGCGUCCGCUGUGAAAACUCGGGGCUUAACCCCGAGCCUGCAGUGGAUACGGGCAGACUAGAGGUAGGUAGGGGAGAAUGGAAUUCCCGGUGUAGCGGUGAAAUGCGCAGAUAUCGGGAGGAACACCGGUGGCGAAGGCGGUUCUCUGGGCCUUACCUGACGCUGAGGUGCGAAAGCGUGGGGAGCAAACAGG
rnacentral:rRNA from 1 species